GACGAACGCUGGCGGCGUGCUUAACACAUGCAAGUCGAACGGAAAGGCCCUGCUUUUGUGGGGUGCUCGAGUGGCGAACGGGUGAGUAACACGUGAGUAACCUGCCCUUGACUUUGGGAUAACUUCAGGAAACUGGGGCUAAUACCGGAUAGGAGCUCCUGCUGCAUGGUGGGGGUUGGAAAGUUUCGGCGGUUGGGGAUGGACUCGCGGCUUAUCAGCUUGUUGGUGGGGUAGUGGCUUACCAAGGCUUUGACGGGUAGCCGGCCUGAGAGGGUGACCGGCAACAUUGGGACUGAGAUACGGCCCAGACUCCUACGGGGGGAGCAGUGGGGAAUAUUGCACAAUGGGCGGAAGCCUGAUGCAGCAACGCCGCGUGCGGGAUGACGGCCUUCGGGUUGUAAACCGCUUUCGCCUGUGACGAAGCGUGAGUGACGGUAAUGGGUAAAGAAGCACCGGCUAACUACGUG
rnacentral:rRNA from 1 species